AUCAUGACUACUUUUUUGACUUUUUUUUUCUCCCCCAGAUGAUCGGCUUCCUGCUCUCGAAAAACCCAACACAGUCUAUCUCUCUGGUCAACACACUUGUCCCACGUUCUUCUCAAGAGCUGACCACUUCGCCGCCCAGCAACAAGCAGAGUGCCAUCCAACUUGCAACCUUUUUUUGUCUUCUCUGCAAACGAAAUAAAGCUUGAUCACAAAGAACACUUCAACUCAACUUCAUUUUUAAACACAUCACCAGUAUCUAACUUAAAGACAAUAAAUACAUUUCAACAAA